UACGUAGGGUGCAAGCGUUGUCCGGAAUCAUUGGGCGUAAAGAGCUCGUAGGCGGUUUGUCGCGUCGACUGUGAAAACCUACAGCUUAACUGUGGGCUUGCAGUCGAUACGGGCAGACUUGAGUUCGGUAGGGGAGACUGGAGUUCCUGGUGUAGCGGUGAAAUGCGUAGAUAUCGGAAGGAACACCAGUGGCGAAAGCGGCUUCCUGGUCCGACACCGACGUUCAGGCACGAAAGCGUGGGGAGCAAACAGG
rnacentral:rRNA from 1 species